AGCGAACGCUGGCGGCAGGCCUAAUACAUGCAAGUCGAACGGACCCUUGGGGUUAGUGGCGGACGGGUGAGUAACACGUGGGAACGUGCCCUUUGGUUCGGAACAACUCAGGGAAACUUGAGCUAAUACCGGAUAAGCCCUUCGGGGAAGAUUAUCGCCAUUGGAGCGGCCCGCGUCUGAUUAGCUAGUUGGUGGGGUAAAAGCCUACCAAGGCGACGAUCAGUAGCUGGUCUGAAGAGGAUGAUCCAGCCACACUGGGACUGAGACACGG
rnacentral:rRNA from 1 species